GACGAACGCUGGCGGCGUGCUUAACACAUGCAAGUCGAACGAAGGGGCGAACGGGUGAGUAAUACGUGAGUAACCGGCCGUCGUUGUUGGGAUAAGGCUUGGAAACGGAGUCUAAUACCCAUUAAAGGGGGAUGGGCGCUGGGGCUAUUGGGUGGGUGGAGGGGUGAGGGAGGCCCAAGGCGGUGACGGGUAGCCGGCCUGGGAGGGUGACCGGCCACAUUGGAACUGGGCUACGGCCCAGACGCCGACGGGAGGCGGCAGUGUGGGAUAUUGGACAAUGGGCGAAAGCAUGAUGCAGCGACGUGGCGUGGGGGAUGUAGGCUUUCGGGUUGUAAACCUUUUUCGCGAUCGAAAGGGUAGGUGGAGAAGAAGCGCCGGCUAACUACGUGCCAGCAGCCGCGGUAAUUC
rnacentral:rRNA from 1 species